AGUGAACGCUGGCGGCAGGCCUAACACAUGCAAGUCGAACGGCAGCACAGUAAGAGCUUGCUCUUACGGGUGGCGAGUGGCGGACGGGUGAGGAAUACAUCGGAAUCUACUUUUUCGUGGGGGAUAACGUAGGGAAACUUACGCUAAUACCGCAUACGACCUACGGGUGAAAGCAUGGGAUCUUCGGACCUUGCGCGAUUGUAUGAGCCGAUGUCGGAUUAGCUAGUUGGCGGGGUAAAGGCCCACCAAGGCGACGAUCCGUAGCUGGUCUGAGAGGAUGAUCAGCCACACUGGAACUGAGACACGGUCCAGACUCCUACGGGAGGCAGCAGUGGGGAAUAUUGGACAAUGGGCGAAAGCCUGAUCCAGCCAUACCGCGUGGGUGAAGAAGGCCUUCGGGUUGUAAAGCCCUUUUGUUGGGAAAGAAAAGCAGCAGGUUAAUACCCCGCUGUUCUGACGGUACCCAAAGAAUAAGCACCGGCUAACUUCGUG
rnacentral:rRNA from 1 species